rnacentral:rRNA from 1 species
AACAAACGCUGGCGGCGUGCCUAAUACAUGCAAGUCGAACGGGGAAAGCUUUCGGGUGAGUACUAGUGGCGCACGGGUGAGGAACGCGUGGAUAAUCUGCCUUAGAGUGGGGGAUAACUAGUCGAAAGAUUAGCUAAUACCGCAUAAGACCACAGGAGCUGCGGCUCAAGGGGUCAAAGGUUUUUCGCUCUAAGAUGAGUCCGCGUAAGAUUAGCUAGUUGGUGAGGUAACGGCUCACCAAGGCGACGAUCUUUAACUGGUCUGAGAGGAUGAUCAGUCACACUGGAACUGAGACACGGUCCAGACUCCUACAGGAGGCAGCAGUAGGGAAUAUUGCACAAUGGAGGAAACUCUGAUGCAGCGACGCCGCGUGAGUGAUGAAGGCCUUCGGGUCGUAAAGCUCUGUCGCAGGGGAAUAACACAAUGAAGGUACCCUGUAAGAAAGGAUCGGCUAACUUCGUGCCAGCCGCCGCUGUAA